UUCAAUACCAAAACAAUUUCUGUGUUCACUUAGGUUCCUGUUACAUACCCUCAGAAAUGGGAACAUCAUAUACAGAGUGUUGUGUUGCCGUGGCAAUGUAACACAGGGUUUGCCCAGCCUUGCUUAAGAACAUCUUUCCUAGAAAUGAAUGGAGAAUUUCUGUGAUACUCCCCUCCUUGCUUCUAAGAGGAAGUGCAGAAAUAAAUGGUAAGCCUACUGUCCCUAGCAAACCCAACCAGCUCUCCAGGUGACAUCAAGCUGUAGGAAAAUCUCAAGAAAGGCAGCACAUGUGGAACAGAAGAGGUGAAACUGAAAGCCUUUGAGAUGCCCCUAAUAUACUCCCCCAAAGAAUAAUUUCCUUCUCAAGCUGGCACAUUCUGCAAUCAUGUUAUUUUGAAUAUUUGUUCUCCAUUUCCUAGGUGUUGAC
rnacentral:lncRNA from 1 species